CUAAUACUCCCUCCGCCCGAAAUUACUUGUCACAUAAAUAGAUGUAUGUAGACAUGUUUUAGUUCUAAAUACAUCCAUUUUUAUCCAUUAUGGGACAAGUAAUUCGGGACGGAGGGAGUAUGUG
rfam:Triticum aestivum genome assembly, contig: Triticum_aestivum_CS42_TGACv1_scaffold_130133_2BL